UACAGAGGGGGGCAAGCGUUUGUUCGGAAUUACUGGGCGUAAAGGGCGCGUAGCGGCCGCCUAAGUCAGACGUGAAAUCCCUCGGCUCAACCGGGGAACUGCGUCUGAUACUGGGUGGCUUGAAUUCGGGAGAGGGAUGCGGGAAUUCCAGGUGUAGCGGUGAAAUGCGUAGAUAAUCUGGAGGAACACCGGUGGCGAAGGCGGCAUCCUGGGACCGAGAUUGACGC
rnacentral:rRNA from 1 species